UCACUUAAAAAAUAUUCAUCAAUGGAAAACUUUGGUGUCUAUUCUAUUUUUCUCAUUACUUUCACUUAUGCUACAUUGAUAAUGACACAAAUACCCUCAACAAAUGGAGUUGUAUGUGAAGAAGAACUUCAAGUUCCUUGUAAGGAUGGCAAUGUAUUAUAUUGUGGCUCUAUAUGUUAUGAAAAAUAUAGAGAAAAUUAUAUGUCAACAGAGUGUGUGGAGAAAUUUGCUGGUAACCCUAUUUGUGUGUGUAUUUACAAGAGUGAGUAU